UGCCAUAUCUCAAUUAUAUUAAACCCAAAGAAAUCCAAGUGCAGAGCUCAGCCAUAUUGCGAAUGGAUCAAACUGCCACAAAACUCAGAUUUCAGCAACUCAAACCAGAGGCUUUGUGACCAGGGGGAUCAGCGCUGCUUUCCCAAGACAGGUUUAUAUGUGAUUAUGAUCUUCAGGCUUUGCCUAACCAGGUGGGCUUACUUUCCAAAUGUACAAAGUAUGAUUGAGUUAUUAAGCUCUAAAUGUUUCAAUGAAAUGCAAAUUGUUUAUUUAAUGUAAUGAAAACUGUUUAUCCAAUAAAAUGUUUAUGUGCACUCUGCUCUGUUUAAGGCUCGCGCAGUUAAUCAAUUGAGGUUCUCUUAUGACCUAAUACGUUGUUUGAGAAUUGUGUACACUUGUUAGUUGACUCGGUGGGUUGAUCUCCAUCGGGCUCUAACCAGAGGCGUUAUAAGGGUGCUCGGCUGGAUGUGUUCCGGAGCAUGAGAAAUAUCAGGCCCGCCUGGGUAGCGUCCCGAGGUCAAUUCAACUUGUCUGAGUUACGUCCUCAGGGCAAGUGUCAGCGGGAGACAGAGAUCCGUCGGUGGCUAGAGGUCCGGGAUCACAGCGAGUAACAGAAAGGGAGUGUGACAUGUGCGCACAAAUGAAAGAAAAUGUUUUAACAUGCUUAGAAGUUAUUUUAAUUUAAAACCUUCUAAGUCAUGUCAAGUAUGAUUGGAUAAACUGUCUUUAUUAAAAUAUAAAAUGUUUCAGAAAAUGCAUGCCCACUAAGUACAUUAGUACUUAGCCCAAAAAUACUUUCAAAUGUUUUCAGGUUGGCUGGCCGAUGCUGACGGGACGGAGCUGAGGCUAGCGAUAAAUUCCUAUGUUAGACUUCCGCUGUAGCAAUUACUCAUAUCAGUCUUUUGUUUUUCCAACUUAAGAUCUUCAUGUUAAAUUUCAAAUGAUAUACCUGACCGAGCUUAGACUCUUCACUACUAAAUUUAUGCCAAUGAAUGUCGGUUGUCAGAAGCAUGAAACAAAACUUGUGAUCCAAAGGGGCAUAGCCCGACUUUCUAUCCUAUUUCGGGUUUUUACAAGGUUGUUCCUUGUUUAUUUCUA